AUUUUGAAAGAAUUAAAAUAAGGCAUGAAAUAAUACAUGCAAACCCUAAAACUCAUAUUAAGGAUGAAGAUGAUGUCGCUAUCCUACAUGAAGUCAGCCAUCUUGUUGCCUCAAUCUUUGUUUAGAUUUUCUAACCUAUUUUCUAACCUAAGUGUUUUGAUAUUUGGAUAAGUUUCACAUCAAGAUCUGAGUGAUUUAUAUUGAUGAGUUUGAUCAUCAUCUAGAAGCCAGAUAGAGAAAGAGCAAGGAAUUCGAAGGCAAGGGUGAUAUUAUGAUUUGGUACUAAAAUCUAAUAUAUUUGUUUUGGUUAUAAUUUAAGAUCUUCUGCUAAGGGAGAACCUUAGGCCGGUGAUACUUCAUUAUGCAUCAAUGGUGUCUUUGUAAAAGAAUACAUAAUUGGAAACGAGACUGUAAGCAUCUAAAAUGGAUGAUGAGAGGGAGGCAUUUUGAUUAAAAUUUUAUGUUUUCAUAAUCACUAUCUUUAAUUUAAUUUGAUGUAAAUACAUGGUGGAAAUUAAUGAAACAAAAGAACUCCAUGUCAGAUUCCACAUCAUUUGGUAUGCGUUUUUUGGUAUAAAACUUUGUGCUCUCUAGCAUUUUAUUAAAACAAUAAAGUUAAUAGAUGGUGUAUUAAGUAUAAGAUGUGUAUCUAGUAAUUAUGAAUGUGUUAAUAAAAUUUCUCUUGUGCCCCUUUUGUAACCAAAUAAUAAUAAUAAUAAUAAUAAUAAUAAUUUCAAUAAAUCAUAUUGUUUAUUUAAGUAUAAUUUAUUUACAACUAAAAAAAUCAUUAUUCACACUUAAAAACGUUUUUCUAAAUUCAAUAAAUUCACUGCCACAUGACAUUAAUUUCACAUUUGAAACGGGUGGAAACUGCUGCCCUGUCACAGUGACCUAAAGUGACUUAAAGUGACCCAGGUCAUUUCAAAAAUCUAACCAAACGGGUGAACUUGCUCUAAGAUCUUGAACCCUGUGACACAAGUUGGGUUGAAAAUACAUAGUACUGGUCGGUUGCUUUCUUCUUGGGAGGAGGGAGCUUCUCAGCAGCGGCAUUUGGAAAUGAAACUGAUACAUGCUAUGCAUAACCAGUUAAUAGGGCUACCCUAUGAGCGAAUGUGAUGAGCAGAAAGUUUUGAAUCGUCUUUUAACGAGUCGUUGUCGCUGGAAGUCUGGAUGAAACUUAUUGGGGGCAACGAACUAGAGUUCUUUGGCUCAAGAUGGUGACUAAAACAGGGUCACGGAGAGCAUCUAAUCUAAGAGUAGAACUUGUAUUGGUGGUUCAUCUGAUAAUGAGGGUACUUGUUUCUGAUGCACCCGUCAAAAUCUCCUAAUCCUGAUCUUACCUCAUAAUAUCAACUCUGCAGAGUGCGUCUGUUCCAUGUAGACUAAUCCCUGACAAUAGUAGUUGCUUAAGAGAUUAAUCAAUUUAUGAAGGGGCAGCGUGAUCGGUUGCAAGGUUUUUUCACGCUAAAGCUUAUGAGCGGGAUAAUCUGGAAGCUAUUUUGAGAGACUCCUGAAAAGAUUUCUGAACUUGCUUUUCAUUUCUGUUUUCUCCAAUAAUCUAAACUUACAAAAACCUACCACCACACCAAGGAUAAUCUGAAUACCAUUGCGUGAAUAAGAAAAACAUGAAGUGUUUGUGAGAGGAAAAAAAAAAAAGAGCGCAAUCGCAGGUUCUAUAAAUUACUUGCUAUCGAAAAAACAGUUCCAUAAAUUACUACACAGGCCUCACUCUUAAAUAUACUCUUGAGUCUUGAGAUAUAAAUAAAAAAAUUAUGAAUAACAUUACAUUUACCUAUUAAAUUAGAAGAACGAUAACAUCUUGCCAAUGGGAACUAGGACAUGAUUAGCCAGCCACCUAUGUACACAGCAUGAGAUAAGCAGACACAAGCAGAUGAGACCAAGUGAAGUAGUCUUGUCACAAUAUGGUCCGAAAGUUCAUAGAUCUUACAUAUCCCCAGCUCCAUCAUCAUCACAAGCAUUUGAUUUAUCUGCAUAUUGGAGCAAA
rnacentral:lncRNA from 1 species